rnacentral:rRNA from 1 species
UGCAAGUCGAACGCUUCUUUCCUCCCGAGUGCUUGCACUCAAUUGGAAAGAGGAGUGGCGGACGGGUGAGUAACACGUGGGUAACCUACCCAUCAGAGGGGGAUAACACUUGGAAACAGGUGCUAAUACCGCAUAACAGUUUAUGCCGCAUGGCAUAAGAGUGAAAGGCGCUUUCGGGUGUCGCUGAUGGAUGGACCCGCGGUGCAUUAGCUAGUUGGUGAGGUAACGGCUCACCAAGGCCACGAUGCAUAGCCGACCUGAGAGGGUG